rnacentral:rRNA from 1 species
GACGAACGCUGGCGGCGCGCCUAACACAUGCAAGUCGAGCGAGAACCAGGGCUUCGGCCCUGGGGACAGCGGCGAACGGGUGAGUAUCACGUGGAUAACCUGCCCUCGGCACCGGAAUAGCCCGGGGAAACUCGGAUUAAUGCCGGAUAGCCCCUUCCUCCUGCGGGAGGUCAGGAAAAGGUAGCUUCGGCCUCUGGCCGAGGAUGGGUCCGCGGCGGAUUCGCCUGUUGGCGGGGUAAUGGCCCACCAAGGCGACGAUCCGUAGCUGGUCUGAGAGGACGAUCAGCCACACUGGGACUGAGACACGGCCCAGACUCCUACGGGAGGCAGCAGUGGGGAAUCUUGCGCAAUGGGCGAAAGCCUGACGCAGCGACGCCGCGUGCGGGAAGAAGGCCUUCGGGUUGUAAACCGCUUUCAGGGGGGACGAAGCCACUCGGGUGAAUAGCCCAGAGGGUGACGGUACCUCCAGAAGAAGCCCCGGCUAACUACGUGCCAGCCGCCGCCGUAA